CACGUAGGGCGCAAGCGUUGUCCGGAUUUAUUGGGCGUAAAGAGCGUGUAGGCGGCCAGAUAGGUCUGUUGUGAAAACUCGAGGCUCAACCUCGAGACGCCGACGGAAACCAUCUGGCUAGAGUCCGGAAGAGGAGAGUGGAAUUCCUGGUGUAGCGGUGAAAUUCGUAGAUAUUCGCAAGAACACCAGUGGCGAAGGCGGGUCUCUGGACAGUUCCUGACGCUGAGGCACGAAGGUCAGGGGAGCAAACGGG
rnacentral:rRNA from 1 species